rnacentral:tRNA from 1 species
GUUUUUUUAUUUUAAAUAUUGAAAUAUAAAAGUUUCAAUUAUAUAAAAACAGUGAUCAAAUUUUUUGUUAUUUAUAUGAUAAAAAAAGUUUGAAAUAGAUUUUUUUAUGAUAAUUUUGGUUUUAGAAAUUCUUUUUCUUAAAGAAAAAAUAAUUUUUUAUUUAAAUUACAAUUUUUUUUAAAAUUUAUUAAUGUAUGUUUUAUGAAUUUUAAAUUAUAUUUAAAUUAUAAAAGUUU